rnacentral:rRNA from 1 species
AUUGAACGCUGGCGGCAGGCCUAACACAUGCAAGUCGAGCGGUAACACAGGGAGCUUGCUCCUGGGUGACGAGCGGCGGACGGGUGAGUAAUGUCUGGGAAACUGCCUGAUGGAGGGGGAUAACUACUGGAAACGGUAGCUAAUACCGCAUAACGUCGCAAGACCAAAGAGGGGGACCUUCGGGCCUCUUGCCCUCAGAUGUGCCCAGAUGGGAUUAGCUAGUAGGUGGGGUAAUGGCUCACCUAGGCGACGAUCCCUAGCUGGUCUGAGAGGAUGACCAGCCACACUGGAACUGAGACACGGUCCAGACUCCUACGGGGGCAGCAGUGGGGAAUAUUGCACAAUGGGCGCAAGCCUGAUGCAGCCAUGCCGCGUGUAUGAAGAAGGCCUUCGGGUUGUAAAGUACUUUCAGCGGGGAGGAAGGCGAUAAGGUUAAUAACCUUGUCGAUUGACGUUACCCGCAGAAGAAGCACCGGCUAACUCCGUGCCAGCAGCCGCGGUAA